AUAAAUCACUUUUCUGUUUAAUAUAUCCUCUUAACCAAAAAUAUUUUCUAUAGUCAUUCUUACUAUAUUUACACUCAUUUAUUCUGUCUCAGGGUUUGUUGUUGGUGAAUGGGCCUGUUUGAGAGUUUAGAAGACAUUUUAAGAUAUUCUCUAUUAUGAGUCCAUACUGCAGUUGAACUACUCUCUCCUGGGCAUUCCUGGGAUUAGAUUAAGAUGUAAUUAUUAUUCAUAAGAUGUACAACAUAGUAAGGAAAAUUAUAGGAAAUUACCUAUUAUAUUUAGGUAGAUGGUCUUUAAAAAUCUUGUUUUAAAUUAGACAUUUUUAUAUUGAUGCUUAGGCAUGUUAAUGACAAAAUUUAUUUUGACAGAAGCAGCAUUAACUGAAUAAAAUGUCUUUCAGAUAACAAAAAUGCAGUUAAAGUCUAGCAGUUGACACCACAAAUGUUCAGAACUGAGGCUUAGUUAAAUGGAAGGCAUAGCACUUGGGAAUCCAGGGAGAAGAUUCCCAUUAGCAAACCAGGAAGAGGACUCUUACUCAAACCUGACCAUUCUGGUAUCCUGGUCUCAGACUUCCAGCUCCAGAACUCCCUAGAAAGCCAAUACAGGAAGUAUGGGGAGGAACAUGCAUGGAGGAAGGACACGUUGAUUUAUUUAAGAGCAAAGAAGAAAGGAUACUAUCUGUGGAAACUGGUAGGCCUGGGGUUGAACCCCAACUGUGCUGCUGAUUAACUGUGACUCUUGCAGAAGUACUAUAACCUGUCUAAGGACAUUUCAGAUACCAACCUUGCUGAUUUUGUGAUGCUGCCCUGAUUUCAUGCCUGGCACAAAGAUAAUAUAAGCAUAGUGAUACUUUGUGAACUUACUAAAUUGUGGCCAGUCUUGUCCUGGGAUCUUCACUUCUUCACUUGAUUACCUUGUGACUCAGGCCCAACCCACAGAGGGAAGCAGGCUCCUACACUCCUCAACAUAGUUGCAGACUCUCUUCCACACUGAGACUUUUACCAAAACUACAAACUAGAAGUUGACAUGAAGUAAUUGUGGUUUUCAUGGAGUUAUGUUUAUGUUAAGGAACACAAAGUGUCCUGCUAUCAGCAUGUGUGGACUGUUCUAAAGCAGAACAAUCUGUAAAAUCAAAGGGAAACAGAACUGACAAAAUUGGAAGCGUUCUAUUCUCAUAGAAAGAGACGCAUAGGGCAGCCCCCGUGGCGCAGCGGUUUGGCGCUGCCUGCAGCCUGGGGUGUGAUCCUGGAGACCCGGGACUCCCUGCGUGGAGCCUGCUUCUCCCUCUUCCUGUCUCUCUGCCUCUCUCUCUGUGUCUAUGAAUAAAUGAAUAAAAUCUUAAAAAAAAAAAGACGCACAAAGUAAAUGGACUUUAAUUCCACCU